UGAAUAUGUAAAAAUGAAAGAUAGAAAAGGCCAACUGUAUUGAAGAUACAAAAUAGAGUUGGUAGUGGUAUAUAGAAGAAAAAUCAAGAGGCUUCUGUGUAGAAAACCAAUUUGUAAUUUAAGGAUUGGGGACCAAAAAUUUUUAAAGACUAAAUGUGUUCACAUUACUAUAGAUAUGUCUAUAAGGUGAAGAUCCUUUUCUUAGGUAUACAAAUGUGAUGUUGCAUAUAAAUGGGCUUCCCACCCACAAAUGCUUAUUAGCCUAAAAUGGCCUGAAAGCUCUAGUAAUUAAAUUAUUUCUCUGCGUCCUAAUUUUUUGUCUUUGAAACAGAUUAUUUAGAAAAUCAUGUACUUUGCUUAAGUUUCUAACUUUUACUUGCUUUUUCCAGAGUUAUUUAUACCAAAUCCUACAGGGGAUUGUGUUUUGUCACUCUAGAAGAGUUCUUCACAGAGACUUAAAACCUCAAAAUCUCUUGAUUGAUGACAAAGGAACAAUUAAACUGGCUGAUUUUGGCCUUGCCAGAGCUUUUGGAAUACCUAUUAGAGUAUAUACACAUGAGGUAAUAACACUCUGGUACAGAUCUCCAGAAGUAUUGCU
rnacentral:sRNA from 1 species